UGGGGAAUAUUGCACAAUGGAGGGAACUCUGAUGCAGCGACGCCGCGUGAGUGAUGAAGGAAUUCGUUUCGUAAAACUCUGUUCUAUGGGAAGAAAAGGACUGUACCAUAGGAGAAAGCCCCGGCUAAAUACGUGCCAGCAGCCGCGGUAAUACGUAUGGAGCGAGCGUUGUCCGGAAUUAUUGGGCGUAAAGGGUGCGCAGGCGGCUGUACAAGUUGGAUGUGAAAUAUUGUGGCUCAACCACAAACGUGCAUCCAAAACUGCAAAGCUUGAGUUAAGGAGAGGUAAGUGGAAUUCCUGGUGUAGCGGUGGAAUGCGUAGAUAUCAGGAGGAAUACCGGUGGCGAAGGCGACUUACUGGACUUAAACUGACACUCAGGCACGAAAGCGUGGGUAGCAAACAGG
rnacentral:rRNA from 1 species